UGCCCGUAUCCGACGAGACAGUGGCAGCAGCGUCCCGCCACGUCGCGGCCCGGCAGCGGCAUUCUCGGUGCGGGUCCACGACCUCAGCAGGCCUAUUCCAUGCAGGUUCUGACAAAUUUUGGGUACACUCUGACAGACGUGGAGGCCGCCAUGCACACUCUGUCCAUGCAUCAACCAGAUGAAAAUUGGUACAUGGACACCGGAGCGACUUCCCACAUGACUGCCAACUCAGGAUUUACCGACGGGGAGCCGCCUAAUGAGAUGUGAGAGCACCGAGGAAUUGUAUCCUAUCAAUGCCACA